UUGAACUUUUAUGUGAUGGCGCAUAGCCUGUACUACCGUUCAACCGUAGUUGAACUUUUAUGUGAAGGCGCAUAGCCUGAGUCGAAGGCGCAUAGAUGCGGGGAUGUGGAAGCAAACUCAUCUCGAGGUUUUUGACUUCCUAUGACCCGAUAUGCCGCUUGGGCUCGUUCGAGCUGGGUUAUUCAUUUUUCUUUUUCGGUCUAAGGAUAAACUAUGUGGUUCUGC
rnacentral:lncRNA from 1 species